GUGCUUGCUUCGGCAAGCGCGUACGCUAAGUUGGAUAUGAUACAGAGAAGAUUAGCAUGGCCCCUGCGCAAGGAUGACACGCAAAUUUGAGAAUGACAAGGGCGAAAGCCGAUCGUU
ensembl:snRNA U6 U6 spliceosomal RNA